rnacentral:rRNA from 1 species
UACGAAGGGGGCAAGCGUUACUCGGAAUUACUGGGCGUAAAGCGUGCGUAGGCGGUUUGUUAAGUCUGUCGUGAAAGCCCCGGGCUCAACCUGGGAAUGGCGAUGGAAACUGGCGAGCUAGAGUACGGUAGAGGAGAGUGGAAUUCCCGGUGUAGCAGUGAAAUGCGUAGAGAUCGGGAGGAACACCUGUGGUGUAGACAGCUUACUGGACGGUGACUGACGCUGAGGCACGAAAGCGUGGGUAGCAAACAGG